rnacentral:rRNA from 1 species
GUGGGGAAUUUUGGACAAUGGGCGCAAGCCUGAUCCAGCAAUGCCGCGUGCAGGAAGAAGGCCUUCGGGUUGUAAACUGCUUUUGUACGGAACGAAACGGUCCUGGUUAAUACCCGGGGCUAAUGACGGUACCGUAAGAAUAAGCACCGGCUAACUACGUGCCAGCAGCCGCGGUAAUACGUAGGGUGCAAGCGUUAAUCGGAAUUACUGGGCGUAAAGCGUGCGCAGGCGGUGCUGUAAGACAGGCGUGAAAUCCCCGGGCUUAACCUGGGAAUUGCGCUUGUGACUGCAGGGCUGGAGUGCGGCAGAGGGGGAUGGAAUUCCGCGUGUAGCAGUGAAAUGCGUAGAUAUGCGGAGGAACACCGAUGGCGAAGGCAAUCCCCUGGGCCUGCACUGACGCUCAUGCACGAAAGCGUGGGGAGCAAACAGGAUUAGAAACCCUUGUAGUCC